UACGGGGGGGGGCAAGCGUUGUUCGGAAUUACUGGGCGUAAAGGGCUCGUAGGCGGCCAACUAAGUCGGAUGUGAAAUCCCCAGGCUCAACCUGGGAACUGCAUCCGAUACGGGCUGGCUUGAGUGCGGUAGGGGGAGACUGGAAUUCCUGGUGUAGCGGUGAAAUGCGCAGAUAUCAGGAGGAACACCGGUGGCGAAGGCGGGGUCUCUGGGGCCGUAACUGACGCUGAGGAGCGAAAGCGUGGGGGAGCGAACAGG
rnacentral:rRNA from 1 species